UACUAUAUAUAUAAUUUAAAUUUAUAUAUGAAUGAUUUCUAAAAUCAACACAUUUUUCUGUCAAAAUAGU
rnacentral:tRNA from 1 species